rnacentral:rRNA from 1 species
CAGUGGGGAAUAUUGGACAAUGGGCGAAAGCCUGAUCCAGCCAUGCCGCGUGUGUGAAGAAGGUCUUCGGAUUGUAAAGCACUUUAAGUUGGGAGGAAGGGCAGUAAAUUAAUACUUUGCUGUUUUGACGUUACCGACAGAAUAAGCACCGGCUAACUUCGUGCCAGCAGCCGCGGUAAUACGGAGGGUGCAAGCGUUAAUCGGAAUUACUGGGCGUAAAGCGCGCGUAGGUGGUUCGUUAAGUUGGAUGUGAAAUCCCCGGGCUCAACCUGGGAACUGCAUUCRAAACUGGCGAGCUAGAGUAUGGUAGAGGGUGGUGGAAUUUCCGGUGUAGCGGUGAAAUGCGUAGAUAUAGGAAGGAACACCAGUGGCGAAGGCG